rnacentral:lncRNA from 1 species
UGAAAAUAUAUAGUUACAAAGGUGAUACUUAUCAGCUGUACAGAUGUCACCAAAAGGGGCUGCCCAAACAAAAAGUUGGCUGCCCAAAAAGCAUACAUAUAUAUCUAUAUGUAUAUCCCUUACCUUCCUUUUAAAGUUAUACAUAACUCUAAUUAGGAUAUUACCUAAACACCCCAUCACAAAUCCUUAAAUUACGAUAAGAAUUUAUGCUAAGCAAGUUGGCAAUUAUCACAACACUUCAAGUUCCCAAAAUGAGACUAAAACAUAUUCUAGUAAUUAAGCAACGGUAAAUCGACAUGCGACUCUAGG